AAUAAUAAGUCAAUUGUUAUUAUUCAUAUUAAUUUAUUUUAAAGUUUUUAAUUUUAUAUUAGUUUAUUUUUAAAAGUAUAUGUAAAAAUUUUAGGAAUAGUUAAUAAUAAUUUAUAAUUUUGAUUAGAUUAUUUUGUUAGUGCUAAAUAAUGGGUGUGGAAAAAGUGGAAAAUUUAUUAUAAAAAAGUAUAAAAAAUUAAAUAAACUACUUAGUCAGAAAUGGAUGCCAGCCGUUGCGGUAAUAUCCAUGCUUUUAAAUAUUAUACAGUUAUCAUUAAUAAUUGAUACAAUAAACCGAUAAUCAAUAAAAUUAAGAAAAAAAAUAUUUGUUUUUAAACACCAUCAGGUAUAUGCAAAUAUUAAAUUAUAGUAAUUAUAAAUUAAAUUAUGUUAUAUUUAUUCGAAUUGUUAAAAAAAUAAAAUUAUAAAAUUUUGACUCCAUGAAAAGGAUAAUGUAUGAAAUUAUCAAUUUUAUAAUCAAAAUUAAUAUUUUAUAUUAAAUAAGUAAAAUUAGAUAAAAAAUAAAAUUAAAAAGGUAUUGUUGCCCACCAAUUUUUAUAAUAAAAAUAACGUGCAGUAAUUAAUAUAUUUAUAAAA
rnacentral:rRNA from 1 species